ACCAGGGAUAGAGACCCCCCCCCCAGCACUCCCAAAGGUAAGGAGGUUGGGGGGUGAUUUAAAUAAAAAAAAAGUUAAUGUGUGUGUUUGUGUCUGACUGUGUUUGUGAGUGUGUGUGUGUGUUUGUGAGUGUGUGUGUGUGUUUGUGUCUGACUGUGUUUGUGAGUGUGUGUGUUUGUGAGUGUGUGUGUGUGUUUGUGUCUGACUGUGUUUGUGAGUGUGUGUGUGUGUGAGUGUGUGUGUGUGUGUGUGUUCACUGUGUUUGUGAGUGUGUGUGUCUGACUGUGUGUGACUGUGUGUUUGUCUGACUGUGUGUUUGUGUCUGUGUAUGUGUCUGACUGUGUGUGUGUGUCUGAUUGUGUUUAGUGUGUGUUUGUCUGACUGUGUGUGUGUGUGUUUGUGUGUGUGUGUGUGUUUGUGUGUGUGUGUGUGUUUGUGUCUGACUGUGUUUGUGUGUGUGUUUGUGUCUGACUGUGUUUGUGUCUGUGUAUGUGUCUGACUGUGUGUUUGUGUCUGACUCUGUGUGUGUCUGACUCUGUGUGUGUCUGACUGUGUUUGUGAGUGUGUGUGUUUGUAUCUGACUGUGUUUGUGAGUGUGUGUG